AUGAAAAAAGCACAAGAGAAGCUUGGAGCAUUGCUGGGGCGAAACCCUGGCUUGUCCAAAGAUUUCAACAACUGUGUUGACUUCAGCUUGAUGCUAGAAGAAUUUGAGGCAGGGUGGUGUGAGCUGAUGAUGAAGUAUGAGGCUAUGACCGACUCCCACUUCGAGAAUCUAUACAAAUAUAGAGAAAAGGAGAGGGGAGAGUAUUUCAGGAUGUUCUUGACCGCUGUCCAGUGA
rnacentral:rRNA from 1 species